GGGGCGCUGGCGCAACGGUAGCGCGUCAGAUUCCAGUAAAAGAUAAAGUUCAGGAAGUUAAUCACUUUCUAAGCUCUAUACGGGAUUCCUGAAGGUUUUCGGUUCAAAUCCGGAGUGCCUCA